AGGCAAUAGGCACCGGAAUACAGUUAGUAUAACAUAAAUCUUAUCCUGUCGAGAUGCCCCGUUAUAGUAAACACUAGACAUGGCCAGACUUAAAAUUGAACUUGAAAUUGCCGAAUAUUAGAGUUAAAUCCUUCUGGUAUAAACAGAACCUAGUAAAACAAAUUAGUUAUUACUUUGAGAUAAAUGAAGCACUUGUGCAUCGAUACACUGAAUAUGUUAAAUCGAUAGUGUGCACAUUGAAUUUCUCAAACAGUACAUAAAAAAUAUGAUUUAACAAGUGUUCAAUAAUUGUAUUUAAAGCAAUUGUGAAAUCUCAUGCCCUUAAUUUGUAAAGUGAAAAAUUCUAACACAAAAUAAAAACAGUGAAAUACAUAUUUAAAGUGUGGGCUUGUUGCUUUAGAAUACCCUCCCUGGAUUUAUGGGGAUAAAAUGGGUAUUGGUUUAAAGUAGAAGUUUUC